rnacentral:rRNA from 1 species
CGGCAGCUACACAUGCAGUCGAGCGGUAGCACAGAGAGCUUGCUCUCGGGUGACGAGCGGCGGACGGGUGAGUAAUGUCUGGGAAACUGCCUGAUGGAGGGGGAUAACUACUGGAAACGGUAGCUAAUACCGCAUAAUGUCGCAAGACCAAAGUGGGGGACCUUCGGGCCUCAUGCCAUCAGAUGUGCCCAGAUGGGAUUAGCUAGUAGGUGGGGUAACGGCUCACCUAGGCGACGAUCCCUAGCUGGUCUGAGAGGAUGACCAGCCACACUGGAACUGAGACACGGUCCAGACUCCUACGGGAGGCAGCAGUGGGGAAUAUUGCACAAUGGGCGCAAGCCUGAUGCAGCCAUGCCGCGUGUGUGAAGAAGGCCUUCGGGUUGUAAAGCACUUUCAGCGGGGAGGAAGGCGAUAAGGUUAAUAACCUCGUCGAUUGACGUUACCCGCAAAANAAGCACCGGCUAACUCCGUGCCAGCAGCCGCGGUAAUACGGAGGGUGCAAGCGUUAAUCGGAAUUACUGGGCGUAAAGCGCACGCAGGCGGUCUGUCAAGUCGGAUGUGAAAUCCCCGGGCUCAACCUGGGAACUGCAUUCGAAACUGGCAGGCUAGAGUCUUGUAGAGGGGGGUAGAAUUCCAGGUGUAGCGGUGAAAUGCGUAGAGAUCUGGAGGAAUACCGGUGGCGAAGGCGGCCCCCUGGACAAAGACUGACGCUCAGGUGCGAAAGCGUGGGGAGCAAACAGGAUUAGAUACCCUGGUAGUCCACGCCGUAAACGAUGUCGAUUUGGAGGUUGUGCCCUUGAGGCGUGGCUUCCGGAGCUAACGCGUUAAAUCGACCGCCUGGGGAGUACGGCCGCAAGGUUAAAACUCAAAUGAAUUGACGGGGGCCCGCACAAGCGGUGGAGCAUGUGGGUUUAAUUCGAUGCAACGCGAAGAACCUUACCUGGUCUUGACAUCCACAGAACUUUCCGGAGAAUGGAUUGGUGCCUUCGGGAACUGUGAAACAGGUGCUGCAUGGCUGUCGUCAGCCUCGUGUUGUGAAAUGUUUGGGUUAAGUCCCGCAACGAGCGCAACCCUUAUUCCUUUGUUGGCAGCGGGUUAGGCCGGGGAACUCCAAAGGAAAAUGGCCGUGGAUAAACUGGGAGGAAAGGGGGGGGGAGUAAAAGUCCCAAGUCAUUCAUGGGGCCCUUUACAAACCAGGGGGUAACCCCCCGGGGUUACAAUGGGGGAAAAA